rnacentral:rRNA from 1 species
GACGUGGCGGCAUGCCUUCCAUGCAAGUCGAACGGCAGCGCGGACUUCGGUCUGGCGGCGAGUGGCGAACGGGUGAGUAAUACAUACGGAACGUACCCUGUUGUGGGGGAUAACUAGUCGAAAGAUUAGCUAAUACCGCAUACGACCUGAGGGUGAAAGCGGGGGACCGAAAGGCCUCGCGCAGCAGGAGCGGCCGAUGUCUGAUUAGCUAGUUGGUGGGGUAAAGGCCCACCAAGGCGACGAUCAGUAGCUGGUCUGAGAGGACGAUCAGCCACACUGGGACUGAGACACGGCCCAGACUCCUACGGGAGGCAGCAGUGGGGAAUUUUGGACAAUGGGGGCAACCCUGAUCCAGCAAUGCCGCGUGUGUGAAGAAGGCCUUCGGGUUGUAAAGCACUUUUGUCCGGAAAGAAAUUGCUCUGGCUAAUACCUGGGGUAGAUGACGGUACCGGAAGAAUAAGCACCGGCUAACUACGUGCCAGCAGCCGCGGUAAAU